rnacentral:rRNA from 1 species
UACGUAGGGGGCAAGCGUUAUCCGGAUUUAUUGGGCGUAAAGAGCUCGUAGGCGGCCGUUCGCGUCGGAUGUGAAAGCUCAGGGCUCAACUCUGAGAUGCCAUUCGAUACGGGACGGCUAGAGGUAGGUAGGGGAGAGUGGAAUUCCUGGUGUAGCGGUGAAAUGCGCAGAUAUCAGGAGGAACACCGGUGGCGAAGGCGGCUCUCUGGGCCUUACCUGACGCUGAGACGCGAAAGCGCGGGGAGCGAACGGG